GAUGAACGCUGGCGGCAGGCCUAACACAUGCAAGUCGAGCGAGCGGCGGACGGGUGAGUAAUGUCUGGGAAACUGCCUGAUGGAGGGGGAUAACUACUGGAAACGGUAGCUAAUACCGCAUACCAUCAGAUGUGUCCAGAUGGGAUAAGCUAGUAGGUGGGGUAACGGCUCACCUGGGCGACGAUCCCUAGCUGGUCUGAGAGGAUGACCAGCCACACUGGAACUGAGACACGGUCCAGACUCCUACGGGGGGAAGCAGUGGGGAAUAUUGAGCAAUGGGCGCAAGCCUGAUGCAGCCAUGCCGCGUGUAUGAAGAAGGCCUUCGGGUUGUAAAGUACUUUCAGCGGGGAGGCGUUACCCGCAGAGGAAGCACCGGCUAACUCCGUGCCAGCAGCCGCGGUAAUUC
rnacentral:rRNA from 1 species